GGAGGGCCCAGGGUCCUUUGAGCUCCUAGAGGUCCCGUGUGGAACCAUCUGGAAGAGGUAGGAUCCCCUCGCGAGUUUACCCCGGACGUGUGGCGAAUAAAGUUAAGCAUUUUUAACAGUGAUCACCAGAACGCACCUUUGGAUGCUGCAGCAAAAAGUCCACGACUUCUUCAAAGUACUCCAGAUGUACAUCAUUCAGAUCUUCGGGGAGGUCUUCAAAUCUGAAAUAAGCCAGGGCAAGCACAGCAAAACCAUGUCCGGCCAGGAGGCUGGCCCUGUAUUCACAAAGGCCCCCGCCGCUCCCAAACAGAUCAAUGAUCCCAGGAAAGGGCCCCCUGCCUGGAGAACAUCACAAAUCACAAGGAGCUUUAGUUUCUCAAAAGACAGUAAGCAAACAAGUUUUUGAAGCCAAGGAGAUUGGGGGUAGAGAGAUUGGCAGAGAAAGAACAAAAUGUCUUAUUUUCUCAAACAAUAAUGAUAAUAUAGAGGGAUAAAAACCUACAUAUUGGGUACAAUGUAUACUACUCAGGCGACAGGUGCACUAAAAUCUCAGCGUUCAUCACUGUACAGUUCAUCCAUGUAACCCCAAACCACCUGUACACCAAAAGGUAUUGAAAUUAAAAAAAAUU
rnacentral:antisense_RNA from 1 species